UACGUAGGGUGCGAGCGUUAUUCGGAAUUACUGGGCGUAAAGCGUGCGCAGGCGGCCAUGCAAGUCGAGUGUGAAAGCCCCGGGCUUAACUUGGGAAUUGCGCUCGAAACUACGUGGCUGGAGUGUGGCAGAGGAAGGUGGAAUUCCACGUGUAGCGGUGAAAUGCGUAGAGAUGUGGAGGAACACCGAUGGCGAAGGCAGCCUCCUGGGCCAAUACUGACGCUCAGGCACGAAAGCGUGGGGAGCAAACAGG
rnacentral:rRNA from 1 species